rnacentral:rRNA from 1 species
AAAUCGGAUCAGGGUUAGUCGGGUCCUAAGGUUAAUCCGAACGGAGAUACCGAUGGCAAGCCAGUUAAUAUUCUGGCACUGGUGUAUGUAGUGAUGAGGCGACGAAGGAGUGAAAGGUCUGCGUUCUUACGGAAUAGAACGUUGAAGCCCGUAGAUAUAGGACUUGCAGGAAAAUCCGCAGGACCUGUCGAAGGUGACAGUACAGUGAGUCUUCGGACAAUCUGAUAUGACCCUAAUCAUACUUCCAAGAAAAACCUCUAAACUUAUACAUAUACCACCCGUACCGUAAACCGACACAGGUAGUCGAGGAGAAGAUCCUAAGGUGCUCGAGUGAUUCAUGGCUAAGGAACUCGGCAAAUUAACCCUGUAACUUCGGGAAAAAGGGUGCCCUCUUCGGAGGGUCGCAGAGAAAUGGCCCAGGCACUGUUUAUCAAAAACACAUGGCUAUGCUAAAUCGAAAGAUGAUGUAUAUGGCCUGACACCUGCCCGGUGCUGGAAGGUUAAGAGGAGAUGUCAGCAGCAAUGCAAAGCAUUGAAUCGAAGCCCCAGUAAACGGCGGCCGUAACCAUAACGGUCCUAAGGUAGCGAAAUUCCUUGUCGGGUAAGUUCCGACCUGCACGAAUGGUGUAACGAUCUGGGCACUGUCUCAGUCAUGAGCUCGGUGAAAUUGUAGUAUCGGUGAAGAUGCCGAUUACCCGCCACGGGACGGAAAGACCCCGUGCACCUUCACUACAACUUAGCAUUGAAUUUGGAUAAAUGAUGUGUAGGAUAGGUGGGAGACUUUGAAGCAGGGGCGCUAGCUCUUGUGGAGUCAACCUUGAAAUACCACCCUUCAUUUAUUCGGAUUCUAACCCUGAUUAUUCAGGGAACAUUGCUUGGUGGGUAGUUUGACUGGGGUAGUCGCCUCCAAAAAAGUAACGGAGGCUUUCAAAGGUACGCUCAAUACGCUUGGUAACCGUAUGUGGAGUGCAAUAGCAUAAGCGUGCUUAACUGUAAGACAGACAAGUCGAGCAGACACGAAAGUGGGAUAUAGUGAUCCGGUGGUUCCGCAUGGAAGGGCCAUCGCUCAAAGGAUAAAAGGUACGCCCGGGAUAACAGGCUGAUCUCCCCCAAGAGCUCACAUCGACGGGGAGGUUUGGCACCUCGAUGUCGGCUCGUCACGUCCUGGGGCUGGAGAAGGUCCCAAGGGUUGAGCUGUUCGCUCAUUAAAGUGGCACGCGAGCUGGGUUCAGAACGUCGUGAGACAGUUCGGUCCCUAUCUGUGGUGGGCGUUAGAAGAUUGAGAGGGCCUGACUCUAGUACGAGAGGACCGAGUCGGACGAACCUCUAGUGUACCUGUUGUCGCGCCAGCGGCACCGCAGGGUAGCUACGUUCGGUUAAGAUAAGCGCUGAAAGCAUCUAAGCACGAAACUUGCCUCAAGAUGAGUCUUCUUUAUAAGGAUCGUCGGAGACUACGACGUUGAUAGGUUAUAGGUCUAAAGUCAGUAAUGGCAAAGCCGAGUAAUACUAAUAGUCC